rnacentral:lncRNA from 1 species
GAUCUUUCCGCAAAAAAAAAAUAACAGUGAGGAACCAAUAAAAAAGGAGAAGAGAUACGACUAUCAUAAAUAUUACAUCUGCUUUCUAAAUCAAUCGUGUUGAGCUUCUCUUAAAAACUAGCUUUACCAUAUCUCUAAAUCUGAUGUCGAGAUAUCGAUGACAAGUGGACAUGUCGCGACGCGAUACAAGGUUCGAUUUCGCGCUGGUCAUUCAUGACUCCACGUGAAAUUAAGAUCGAUUUCACAUCUAACGAGCGUCGGCCUGUGGCCUGGGUGUCGCGAAACAAAUAAGAAGGGCGGGGAAAGAUGAGAUUGAGCCGGUUGGUCGUUCAACCGAGCCAGUUACAACAGACGGCGCCCAUGAUCUGGUCAGUUUGGCGAAGAACGUGAGAGUAAGCCGCUCCUGGAGCGAAAAGAGGAACAGAGAGGGCUGAAUGAAGAAGGAGUAAAAAAAAUAUUGUGACGACGUAGUGAGACACGUGUGCAAGACAAGAACGAAGACAGGAUUGGAAGAGAGGAAGAAAAAAAAAACGUUAUGACGGUAAAGAGGUUAAGGUGUGAAAGAGAUGAGAAUAUAUGUGAUUGAAAAAGGCGAACAAGUGGAAGAGGAACGGGGAUAGUAUGACUUGUUGGGAAACAACUAAAGAGGGAGGAAGCGAAUAUGUAUGUGAGUACGUGGGAUGGAUAAUACUUCCUUGGCGCGUGUAAUGUACUCGUCCGACGGCGCCGGCGCCUGCAUAUAUUGCUCUUUCUAUCUUUUUCUCUGUCUCGAGUAUGUUUACGUGACGUGACACAGAUUCCACAGAGACGCCUCCUGAAAAAUCUACUAUAUGAUUAUGUCUGGUGUGUGCAAAAAUUUUUGGGACGUGUCUAGAACGAGGUUAUAGUUGUUAUGACGUAUGACAUUGCGCGGCUCUUCUAAAUGUUCUCGGUUUGGAAACAAACAAAUAUUAUUAAUCAUCGAUUUUCAAAUGAAAGAUUAUCAUUAUGAUACAAAAGUACUUGAUAUACAUAUUUGAAUCAUUUAGUCAAAUUACAUAAUAAAAGACGAGAAUGAUAAAUUUCCAUAUUAUCAUUCAAUAUAUAAUUUUCCUAUCGAUAUUAAUUGACUAUUAAAAUAUUUUUAUAGUGAAUCAAGUUACAUUAUUGCCAUUGGUAUUUAUCAGCUAUACUAUUAACUGAAUAAACGAAUGAUCAAAAAAGAAUAAAGGAUAGAGAGAAUAAAGAAAUAUUUUCAAAAAUCGACAUGUAAACGCAUUGUGCCUUGGCCAAGACAGGUGUCUCGAUCGCGGCGCCGGAAGAUCAUAAACUGUUUUUCAGAAAAGAUCUCUACCAAAAUCCCAAUACCGAAUG